rnacentral:rRNA from 1 species
GACGAACGCUGGCGGCGUGCUUAACACAUGCAAGUCGAGCGGUAAGGCCCUUUCGGGGGUACACGAGCGGCGAACGGGUGAGUAACACGUGGGUGACCUGCCCUCAGCUCUGGGAUAAGCCUGGGAAACCGGGUCUAAUACCGGAUAUGACUCCAUGACGCAUGUUGUGGGGUGGAAAGCCUUGUGCGGCUGAGGAUGGGCCCGCGGCCUAUCAGCUUGUUGGUGGGGUGANGGCCUACCAAGGCGACGACGGGUAGCCGGCCUGAGAGGGCGACCGGCCACACUGGGACUGAGACACGGCCCAGACUCCUACGGGAGGCAGCAGUGGGGAAUCUUGCGCAAUGGGCGAAAGCCUGACGCAGCGACGCCGCGUGAGGGAUGA